GUGGGGGGAGGUGCUCGCCGACGCCCGGCGCGGUGUGUAGCUCCGGGGGUGUUUGGACGGCCUCGAGGACCCGGAAUUCCUUGCUCAGACGUGGUCCUAGGACGGCCGAAACAAAACAAAAUUGAAAGUGGAAGAAAUACUGACCUUGAUUGAGAUAAAGCCUUCUUUGAAACAUAAUUUCUAAAAGAUCCUUUAAAGUUAAAGAAGACAUACAAUGAAAACAUUUCAAGGUGGAGUUCCAUCAGCUUUGAAGGAUUGUCCCCAAAUGGGCAGUCAUGUGUGGCUUCAGGGAGGCCCGUGCUCAGCAGUUGUUAUCAGCCCACAAUGCCAGGAUGGCAGCAUCUAGUCAAGGCUUCAGCCCCAUCAGUGGCCUGGCUAUUUGGGAAUCUGAAAUUACCUGGUUUCUCCCUGAAAUGAAGAGAGUACUGAAGUACUUUUCCUGUAAGGAAACCCUCCAUAAAAUAACACACAUUGUUACCUGUCCAUACUCUCUUCCACCUGCUUCCAGGAAGAUGACCUCUUUCGGAGCCUGCCCCAAGUCUGAGGGCUUCUGAAUGUUCCUUGCAAAGAGUCACAGUGAAGCACACAGCACAGAGCAGUCCCCCAAGGAGCAGUGUCACAGGGAUGACGAAAAGCAUCUCCCACUGCAGCUCACCCGGGGCCACAGGUCUGGGGCUGGGCCUCAGGCCUUCGCCCUUACGCACUGCACUUCCCAGGGACUAUGAGCUCACAGGGAAACACGGAGGCUUUGGAGAAAAGACGCCAUAAAGGAAGACUGUCAACUGAGGAGCUCCUCAUAACAGACAAAGCAAAAAUAACGUAUGAAAGUAUUCUUCUGUCUGGAGGUUGGGAGCCAUGGCUUCAUGGGCUGCGACAAUGGGGUGUGAUCCUGACUCCUGGUUUUCCUUUCCGAUCAGCUGAGCUCCCCCUCUGGUCUGCCAGUCCUCAGGAGCUCGGAGCUCAGGGGCUCUGCUGGGUGAGGCCAGGGACUCCGAGCUCCUUCCAGGUUUCCCCCGCAAGGUGAGAGAGCUGCAGUUCUAUCACUUCCAAGUACUGGGGGAUGGUUCUUCUUCAAUAAAUUCCGUUUGUGCUGCUGUUGCCUUGACCAUUUGCCUCCCCAGACUCCCCUGGGUGAGCAAAGACUCCAGGAGUCCCCCACCUGCCUCCUCUAUUGGACACGUCUGCCUUAAAAAAAAAAAAAAAAA